rnacentral:rRNA from 1 species
AUGAAUGAACAACUUUCUUUAGUGAACUGGAAUGUGAGGGGUUUGAAUGAUAGAGCACGUCGCGCGGCUGUGCGUGCGAUGGUUGAAGGCACACGCUGCUCCAUUGUGUGCAUCCAAGAAUCCACGCUCACUGCCACCUCAGUUAGGGACCGAAGGGAGAUCGUUGGAUCUCACUUUGACGAACACACGGCCCUGGCCGCUGAUGGUACGAGGGGAGGAAUAGUGCUUUGCUGGCGGUCCGAGUGUUACAGUGUGAGCAACAUUGCCAUUAGGGAUUUCUCCAUUACUGCAACCUUCACUCCUUCGGAAGGACGGCCGGCUUGGGCAUUGACCACGGUCUAUGGCCCUCAUGAUGACGCCCGGAAACAGUCCUUCCUUAAUGAGAUGGCAGCAAUCCACAACGCCAUGACCCAACCAUGGUUGGUGAUUGGUGAUUUCAACCUAAUUAAGGACCCCCAGGAUAAGAACAAUGGGAGAGUUAAUCGUAGAUGGAUGAACAAAUUUCGCCGCACCCUAAACAGAUCAAGCCUACAUGAGAUCCCGCUAAUAGGGUGUCGUUUCACGUGGAGUAACGAGCAGGACUCGCCAACCCUCGUCAUAUUAGACCACGCAUUCUGCACUGUCGAAUGGGAAUUGCUCCUUCCCGGCGCCAAGCUGCUGCCCAAAGCUUCCUCGGUCUCGGACCAUUGUGUGGGGGAAUGUAGCAGAAAUUCAAAAUUUUCCUACGUGUCACCAAGAUCAAUCUAG